AGAGUUUGAUCCUGGCUCAGGACGAACGCUGGCGGUGUGCUUCACACAUGCAAGUCGAACGGAGUAGCAAUACUCAGUGGCGGACGGGUGAGUAACACGUGGGAAUCUACCAUUAGGUGGGGAAUAACAGGCCGAAAGGACUGCUAAUGCCGCAUAUGUAGGCAUCUCGACAGAGAUGUUUAUGAAAGGAGUAAUCCGCCUUUUGAUGAGCCCGCGUCCGAUUAGCUAGUUGGUAGGGUAAAAGCCUACCAAGGCGACGAUCGGUAGGUGGUCUGAGAGGAUGAUCACCCACAAUGGGACUGAGGCACGGCCCAUACUCCUACGGGAGGCAGCAGUGGGGAAUUUUACGCAAUGGGGGAAACCCUGACGUAGCGACACCGCGUGAGCGAAGAAGCCCUUUGGGGUGUAAAGCUCUGUCAACAGGAACGAAACAAAUGACGGUACCUGUGGAGGAAGCAUCGGCUAACUACGUGCCAGCAGCCGCGGUAAGACGUAGGAUGCAAGCGUUGUCCGGAUUUAUUGGGCGUAAAGAGUUCGUAGGCGGUUUGUUAAGUCUGAUGUUAAAGACCGGGGCUCAACCUCGGAAAUGCAUUGGAUACUGGCAGACUGGAGUGCAGUAGAGGCUAGUGGAAUUCCCAGUGUAGCGGUGAAAUGCGUAGA
rnacentral:rRNA from 1 species